GUGGGGAAUUUUGGACAAUGGGUGCAAGCCUGAUCCAGCAAUGCCGCGUGCAGGAAGAAGGCCUUCGGGUUGUAAACUGCUUUUGUACGGAACGAAAAGGCUCUGGCUAAUACCUGGAGCUCAUGACGGUACCGUAAGAAUAAGCACCGGCUAACUACGUGCCAGCAGCCGCGGUAAUACGUAGGGUGCGAGCGUUAAUCGGAAUUACUGGGCGUAAAGCGUGCGCAGGCGGUGCUGUAAGACAGGCGUGAAAUCCCCGGGCUCAACCUGGGAAUUGCGCUUGUGACUGCAGCGCUGGAGUGCGGCAGAGGGGGAUGGAAUUCCGCGUGUAGCAGUGAAAUGCGUAGAUAUGCGGAGGAACACCGAUGGCGAAGGCAAUCCCCUGGGCCUGCACUGACGCUCAUGCACGAAAGCGUGGGGAGCAAACAGGAUUAGAAACCCGUGUAGUCC
rnacentral:rRNA from 1 species